rnacentral:tRNA from 1 species
GUGUAUGUAAUUUAAAAAAAAUAUCAAACUGUGACUUUGACAUUAGGAAUAACCCUCAUACAUCGA